AUGAGGCUUGGCUCCAAAAUUCGCCAGUUCAACAAUAACAAGAAUACCAACAAGGUUGGGGACAAUGGUAGCAGAACUCUUGGACUCAACAUGGCACACCAUACAAAAAUGGUUCUAGUAUUAGCUCAAGUGGUUCUUAAUCUACCAAUAUCAACAUGCUUAAAAACAUGUGUGUUCAGCAGCAAGAGUACCAACAAGAAAAGUCUCGUAGGCGUGAUAUGCCUUUGA